AUGUACACGGACUCAUGUGCUCAAAUCUCUCGAUCGUCAUUUCUUGUGCUUUUGAUGUUGUCUCGUAUAUGAAAUUGGAGCAUCCCAAAUCCUCAGUCCCUAACCUUUCGCUGCCCGAUUUCUCAACAGAAGCGAAAGGGUUUCCAUUACAGGUUUGAUAUUAUGUCUAUGAACUGGGCUCAACGCAAAAUCUUCCUUUACAAUGUCACUUUUGGACUAUACAUGUUGGAUCCAUGGGAGCGCUAUUUGUUCAAUGCUUUGGUAAUUGUCUUGAUGUGGUUCAUAUUCUACAACGGAUAUCGGAACCUCAAUGAAUUAUGCAAAAGGCAUUUAUGGUGAAGGUUGAGCCUAGAAUGAAAUCGAAAAAGAAAAAGGAACAGGAGUUUUUUGUGCAACUUUUGUUUUUGGAUAAUGAAAUCAAAAAGUAUAUUUUGAAUAAAAACACCAUUCAAAAGAUUGGGUUCCAAGGAUCAAAGGAGUUGGAAGACUGUGAAAGCCAACGCUUUUGGUUUUCUAAAUUUCAAUUUUGGAAGAGAUGCAAUAAGGCCAGGCUUAUCAAUUUUUGUUUUUUGUUAGACUUUAUUAGUAGCAAAAAUAUCUCCAAUGGCGUUUUACUUCCCAAUUGUGAAUGAAAAUACCGAAAGGUAAUUGCAAUUAGGAGCUUGUUAAUAUGCUGAUUUGUGAGGAGGUAUCUCGUUUUAAUAAUUAAAGGGUUUCGUGUGAUCAA